UUUCCGUAGGUGAACCUGCGGAAGGAUCAUUCAUAGUAAGUGUUUUAUGGCACUUUUUUAAAUCCAUAUCCACCUUGUGUGCAAUGUCAGGGUUGAUUUUUCUCUCGAGAGGAUCAACCCCAAACAUCAACUAUAUCUCAACUCUUUGUCUGAAAAAUAUUAUGAAUAAAACAAUUCAAAAUACAACUUUCAGCAACGGAUCUCUUGGCUCUC
rnacentral:misc_RNA from 1 species